CACCGCCCUCCGGGCCGCCAGCGCGCGUGCGCACCUUCCGGCCCCACCCCCGCCCCGCGCAGGUGUGGCGUCCCCCGAGACCAGCCUCGCCGACCCUGCCGCCCGGCCCGCGGCUCCACCCCGGCGUCACUCAGGCCUGCGCCGUCUACCUGGGAAGGGACGGGGCCUGUCGGGGGCUUGACGGUGGCGUGGAAGCCCAGCUGCUGAGAGGCCGAGCAGAGCGCCCCAGGCCCGGCACCCGGGCUGGCCCGGCCCCGCCACGUCCGAGGCUCCCGCCCCCCGGAGGAAGCCGCGCGAGCACUCGGGGGGCGGGGAGAGAAAGACUGCUGAAGGGAAGGAGGUGCCACCAGGCACUCUCUCGCGAGAGGGCCGAAGAGCCGGGGGCGUGUGCCUGCUGAGGACGUUUUCCUGUUACAAAACCAGAACAUGGCUUGGAAAAUCCUAAUUGUUUACCUGUGACAUUAUUUCCAUGAAGAGUAAUCAUCCCAGAAACUAUUAGAGGGCCUUGGAAUAUAUUCAUCUGACCUAUUCUACCUAUCCCAUUUAAAGGACAGCAUCUGAAGAUUUAAUAACAAAAAGCAAUUGAAGCAUUCCAAGCUGGAUAAUCAGGUUGAUUUUGAUGAUGAAAAUCGUCCAACUUUUGCUAAUCAAGUUAGGGGCAUAUAUAAUGUCUUCAAUUAUUGCAUUUCCAGAUUAAUGGACAGCAGAUUUCCAGUUUUUUAAUUAUGAUGUGCUGACACCUGGGAAAGACACUGUACAACAAUGCAAGUGGCCCUUUCUUUUUUCUUUCAAAGGAUGGCAUCGCUUCAGAGGCCAACUGGAUAAACCAAGAGGCUGGAACGCUUAGACCCUCCCUCCUACAACACACAGCCUCCCUUCCCUUCUGCCCAUGUUUACGGCACCCGAAGAGGGGCGUGUCCUGACGGAGGCGGCAGCGCCAAACAGGCCGCGUGGUUAACCUAGAGUGCGCAACAGGUAAUCCUCUGGUUAUCAGAGUGACGGCACUCUUCUCCAGAGCGACCUGCACACUGCCGACAUCCGCCUCGCAAGAUGCACUGAAAGCUGCAAGUGCAGCUCAACAGAGAGGAAUAACCUUUUCCAGAAAUGCUUUAUUGCUACAAGUUGUGAGGUCGCCAACCAUCAACAUUGGAACAAAACUUAAGGUUUCAGCCCCCCCACGGGGCAGCACAGCCACUCCAUGGGGCUGUUUUUAAUGUAAGUUUGGCAGUGGACCCAGCAAAGUUCAGAUGACAGCAGAAUGGUAUCAAGAAACCUUGCCUGAAACCGAAAGAGGUGGAGCAUGAGCUAGAAGAGGAAGACUACCUUCCAUCUGAAAGAUCAGUCUUCCUUUGAAUUCUCUCGGUUAAGAGUAACGUCAAAAUUUAAGGCUGGUAGUUACUACGACAAGGAUAUACGUGAUCUGGUAAGAAAAUCCAACACUUCACUUUUAAACUUUUUCCAAACAGAUGCUACACAUGGCAACUGAAAUAUUCCUAGAAAUGGUGUAGAAGAGAGACUUCCCUGAAUUUAUCGCAACCUACCUGAAUCUAGACCACACUUCUCUGGCCUCUUCUUAAAAUCACAUCUUUCGUUUCACAGCUCUAACAGCAAUAUACCACGGAGUACAGACAACACUGUGAAAAACAAGGGCUUGAUGAAACCCACAGAAAAGCUAUGCACUAAUAUCGGGACUACUUUUAGUCAUGCUAUUAGAUCACUUUAUUCUUGUGCACAAUAAAUAGAUACAGAAAAAUGUUGAAAAUGUUAUGACUCAACUAUCUAAUUAAAGCUGAGAAAAA